AAAUUGAAGAGUUUGAUCAUGGCUCAGAUUGAACGCUGGCGGCAGGCCUAACACAUGCAAGUCGAGCGGAAACGAGUURUCWGAACCUUCGGGGGACGAUAACGGCGUCGAGCGGCGGACGGGUGAGUAAUGCCUAGGAAAUUGCCCUGAUGUGGGGGAUAACCAUUGGAAACGAUGGCUAAUACCGCAUGAUGCCUACGGGCCAAAGAGGGGGACCUUCGGGCCUCUCGCGUCAGGAUAUGCCUAGGUGGGAUUAGCUAGUUGGUGAGGUAAGGGCUCACCAA
rnacentral:rRNA from 1 species